GGGCGGCUGGGGAGCUGGGGGGGGGGACGGACACACGUCCCGGUCCGCCCCUCUCCUCGCUCCUAAAAAAAAAACAAAACCAAAAACCCAAAAGUUGGGAUUUCCUCUUCGUGCUGCUGCUGUCACCUGCUUUAAAAGAAAUAGAGUAUUCUGGGAAAGUCACCCGGACUCUGCCGUGACUCCAGACACGCUUGGAAACGAGUUCUUUUGCAGUUAUUUGGUAAACAAUGAAGGUUCUGUUGCUGAAGGAUCCCAAAGACAAAGAUUCAGGACCAGAUCCGUAUAUGAAAGAAUUAGGAUUAUAUGGAUUUGAAGCAACUUUGAUUCCAGUUUUGUCAUUUGAAUUCGUAUCGCUUGAAACCUUAUUUGAAAAGCUGUCUCAUCCAGAAUGUUAUGGAGGCCUAGUUUUUACCAGUCCAAGAGCAUUAGAAGCCAUCAAGCUAUGUUUAAAAGAGAAUAGUAAAAAUGAAGCCUGGUCAAAAUCUCUUAAACAAAGAUGGAAUACCAAACCAGCAUACGUGGUAGGAAAAGCUACAGCUUCUCUAGUGGAAGAAAUUGGUCUUAUUCCACAAGGAGAAAAGUCUGGAAAUGCUGAAAAAUUAGCUGAAUAUAUUUGCUCAAGAGAGAAACCUAAUUCCUCAGCUCUUCUUUUUCCUUGUGGAGCCCUGAAAAGAGAAGUACUUCCUACGGUAUACCUCUGGAAAGCCUUACUGUUUAUCAAACAACCCAACACGCUGACCUGCAAGGAUCUUUGAGCAGUUACUUCUCACAACAGGGAUUUCCAGCAAGCAUCGUGUUCUUCAGUCCAUCUGGUGUCAAAUUUUGCCUCCAGCACAUUCAGAAGCUUUCGGGGGAUUUAAUCAACCAUAUCAAGUUUGCUGCUAUCGGUCCAACAACUGCGGAAGCCAUGGAAGCAGCAGGAAUCCCAGUUAGCUGUACUGCAGAGAGUCCGACUCCCCAAGACCUCGCCGCUGGGAUCCAAAAAGCACUUCACUUACAGAACUGCUGUUUAGCUAAAUGAGAGCACAGCAUGCGUUCGAAGAUGAGUGAAGUUAAGCUGUUGAACAUUCAGAUUCAGCUGGGUAGCGUCAUUAUAACAACGAGCAUGCAGUACUGUUCAUCUCUUCAUUCAAAAAUAAAUCCACGGCAGAGUGAGGAUUUGGAAGUCUGUUCAAGUGCCCUGCAGUACUGCUCACAUCUCUAGUGUCUGACACCGUAGAGGGCAGCUGGGAGAAGUUUUGUGCGAGUCCGUGCCUUGGGGAAGAGGAAGAAGGGGAGACGUGGUCAAGAGAAGAGGGUGAGAACCGGAAACAAGCCAACCAUAGCCUUGCGCUCCCUUGCACUAUAUGCCAAAUCCUUUUGCUAGCGUAAGUUACAUCUAGUUGUUUGUCUCCCUCAUCAGCCCAGGCCUAUUUCUACAUGUCUUUCCAGCAGAAACGAUCAGUAGCCAUCAUGGCCAAGUAACACGUACUCAUCACAUUUAAUAGAACAAUGUAAAACCAAGACUGCAAAGGGCUCUAGGAGGAAAUCGGGUUGUCUUGCUUCUGUCACUUCAGAUAGGUAGCGUGCUCCUUCUUGACCUGUGACAAACAGAAGAUAACUCAGAGGACUUGACCUGCAGUAGAAGAGGUUACCCUAAGUGAGGUGUGGCUGGCAUUUGCUGUGGGAUGUGGAGGCCACGCGAACAGUUGCUGUGACUCGAUAACAUCUCUGAAUCUGAAAUUCAGACAUAGUGUUUGUCAAUGAAAAACACCAGCUGGAAAAAACACCAGUUUGAGAAUACCAGCUCUAUACCUUGGUUCACAGCAGUACACAGUAAUGUAUUGCAGUAAAAAGAGAAAAGGGAGUAGAAUUGCAGCAGCUGAACGGGUUUUUAUCCCUUUCC